GUUAUGUGGGUUUUUAUUUCUUGGUUUGUUAAUGGUUUCAGUUAUGGGUUUGAUAGCGGGAAAUUUGAUGGCUUGGUGGGGUUUAUUCCUCUCUUGUAAUUUUGCAGAACCUUUGGUUUUUAACGUGAAGAUAUUGUGAUUUCCUGAUCAGAUGAUCGGGCUACGACAAUCAUUCAGAGUGGGUUUCUUGUAUUUUCUUGACACUCUUUAUGAGAUUCUUCGUGGGUUUUUCUUCCUUGGUUUGGCAGAUUCUGCUUUUGGUGGUAGUCCGAGCUUUCGGUAAUUUUUUGUUGAUUUCAAUGGAUUGAGACAAUAAGAAGUUUUGAUGGUCUGAUCGAGUUUGAGUUUUCGUGUAUCCCUUGAAUCAUUUAGGGAAUCUGGGUUUCUGGUAUUUUCUUCAUACUCAUAUCAUCUUUCUAUUUUUCCUCCUCUUUGUGGUAUCAACAGGAGUUUUAUAAAUACGUUAGUGGAAUCUGCUUCUGCGUUUUGAGAUUUUAUUUACCAUUAUUUGAUCCGUUCAAAAGGCUUUGUUUGGUGUUUCUAUUAGUUUCUUUGGUACUCAGGGAUUGCACCAAGUGGUUGUUCAGGCUGGUGGUGAUGCAGUAUCUUUAUUUGGUUUCUGAUGGUUAUUUCGAAUUAUGUUUUGUUAGUUGCUUGGAAUAUCUUCACUCUUUGGUAAUACAGAAAACAAUUUUCUGUUGUGAUUCUUUACCCGCUGAUGGAAGUUGUCGGAUAUUAAUGGAAAAGAGGUUUAAGAUUUUUCGAUGUUUUACAUGUUGACUUCUUGUUCAAUGGCUUCAGCUUGUGUUUGGGGGGAGUUAUAGUGGAGAUUGGUUAUUUUAUAAGGUGAUCUGGAGGUGAAUGUAUUCGUUGUACACUGCAACCAACCUUAUGCUGGUGAUCUGUAACCUUUCCCAGUCUGUGCAAUGUAGACUUUUUGUCGUUCUUUUCAUAUAAAAAGCCUUAGGUUCUUCGAUGCUUCUUGUGCAGGCAGCUUCGACAGUAGCAAUCGGUCUAUGUGUAUUACGCAUUAUUUUACCUUUUUUCUUAUUCUAUUUUUUCCAUCUCUUUUCACCUUCAUUCUGGUAUUUCCCCCCCUUCCUGUUUGCAGAAACUGCUUAUCAGUAUUGCUGGUGACCAUCCAAUUCCAAAGUUAUUUAAUUGUCUUUACUGGACUUUGGAAACUUGGGCUGCUACUUUAAUGGACUUGAAUUUAAUUUGUUGAAAUAUCUUUUUCUAUAACUCUCGAUCUAGAUGGCAGAUACUGGGUUUACCUACUAAGGUGAUGUGUGGCUGUUGGCAUUGAUUGGGAAGAAUAGAAGUUUAGGUUUUGGCAAAGAUUGACGCAAUGCUGAACUACUCCUAGGAAUUGCAGUCUCUUAAUGUCAGAGAGCUCUUUAGGUGCAAUAACUUGUUUUAUAACAUUCUUUCCUAGUCUUUUAAGCAUUGGGAUUUCAGAUUACCCUAUUUCUGAUUUAUACUGAUCCAUUACUCCUUUUUUGAGUAGUCACUGUUUGUAACUGGAUAUGUUUUUUUGUUUCUUUCCAUAUUUCCAUUUCCUCCCCUACCUAGUAGGUGGUGGCUGUUCAGUCUUCUAAAACUUUUGUAGCAUUGAAAUUGAAGGAUAAUGGGGAAGUUGUACACCUGCUCUAAUUAUGAAGUUCAUUUUUCUUUCGUUGGACUCAAAAUUACCUGCCAUUCUGCAUCUAUUUAUAAGAACAUUCACAAUUAUACACCUGCUUGUCAGUUUUCCAUGUAUAUAUUUGUUUCUGAAGGGUUAUUCCACGACAAGAGGUUGCCAGUCACAAUUAUAUGUUGUACUUUGGUUAGACCAAAUAUUCCACAUACUUCUCUUACUGUUUAUGCUUAGCGUUCAUAGUAAUAGGCAGUUCUGAAGCUAAAUUAUUAUUUCCUGUCAUUUGUUUGGGAUAAUAUUAUUAUUUUCACAUUAGUAUUUAUAAUUUAUCUUUUGGGAUACGCAGAUGAUAUUUUGGUGGACAGUAAUGCCAUAUGGAGAAGGGGCAUAAAAUAGAUUUUUUGGCUUCACCUAGAUUAUGGCAUCCUAUCUUUGCUAACCUGAUCACGCUUGGUUUUUUUCACCAUAAUAGAUUUUUGUCAUUGUUUAUUUAUUUCCUCUCCUUCAUAUUCUUUUUUUAUAGGUCGAGUUGUUCAGUUUCAGUCAUUAUAAGAUUUGGAGAUGGAGGACUCAAAUUUUUGCAUCUUGAAUCUAUGUACGUUGUUUAUAAAUGCACACAACCUUUGACUUCGAUUGAAAAAUUAAGUGUUUAGUAGUGUUAAAGGUGGUGGUGAUUUGGAACCUGCUAUGAUCUGUUUUGCAAAGAAUUAAGUUCUUGUCUAUUAUUUCUUUCUUUUAAAAAAAAGCUUCUUUAGGUUUUUUUUUGCGUUGCUUUAUUCCUUUUGCAGUCUUUAAGUGGUUGAUAGUGGGGAAAGCAAUAUCAUUUAUUGUUUGAUGUAGUUUGUUUUAAAUCAUGUUCUUGUGAGUUGAUUGGAAUAUUAUCAUCACUUUUAUAUUGGUACAGAAUCUGGUUUUUCCUUUGGUGCUUCAUCCAAAGCUGGAAAUUCUUUUGGUCAAAUAAUAAUGGAUACUUACGCAAGAAAUGGUGUAAGAUUUUCAUUUAUUUUCCUUAAUUUAUUUCUGGUUCAUCAGUCUCAGUUGUGUGUGGGGGGAGUUCGAGUUUGAUCAUUUUAUGAGGACUGAGGCUUUGUGAAGGGGAACUUAUUCAUUGUUCACUGCAGCUACAUAUGGAUUGGUAAAAUUGAAAUCUUUCUCAGAUUUUGCUAAUGGAACUUAUUCAUUGUUCUCUGAUGUGUUUCUCCACUUGCAGAUAGAUUUGACAGGGAUAGGAUGACACUUGGUAGCUGUUAAGGUGUAAAGCUUAUUUGUGGUGUUGGUUUAUGAGUUUAUUGGCCUUUUUAGCUAGUUUGUUCUAUCUCUAUCUUUCUAGACAGGACUGUCUACUUGAAAGAAAGGAUUUCAUUUGAAAUUCUUCUCGGAGUCUCACCUUCAGAGGUUCUGGAAUUACAAUCUAAGUGGUUUUCAGGGUGGUGGGGAUAUCAAUACCAUUAAAAUUGUUUGCUGUGGUUUGUUUUAAGGGCCUAUUUGGAAGCGAUUUUUUCCCUCAAAAAAUUGAUUUUUUGACCGUUAUUUCACCUUUUCAGCAUCAUAUUUGACUUCUUCUUUCACGGGUGGAUCCCACUUUUCUUAUAACGGUCAAAAAAUUAAUUCUCAAAAUCACUCCCAAACAGGCUUUAAAUGAUAUAUUUUUGAGAGUUCUUUGGAAUGUGAUUUUCACCCUCAUAUGGUACAGACUCUGGUUUCUAUUGGUGCCUUCUCAUACACUGCUGAAGCCCUUGGGUCAAAUAAUAAUGGAUACUUCUGGAAGAAAGGGUGUAAAUUUUUCUCUUUUCUUUGUUCAUUUCUGAUUCGUUAGUCUCAGUAUGUGCGCAGGAGAGUUUAUGUGGAUUCUGAUUAUUUUAUGAGGUCUGAGGGUGUGUGGAGGGGAAAUUUUUUGUUGUUUACUGCAAUAUUUGCGUAGGUGAUUUGAAACCUAUAUGCCUUUGCUCUGUACAUGAAAUGGAAUUUGGACUUUUUUCAGUCUCUUACAUAAAAUGCCUUAGCUUUUUUCAUGUUUCUCCUUGUGCAGAUAGAUUUUAUAAGAUGACGACACAUGGGUCAGGUAACUAAUGAGGGUGUAAAGUUUGUGUGUAGGUGGUUUACGAAUUUGGUAGUUCUCUCUGCCUUUCUGGAUCUUCAACUUGAAAGAAAAAAUUCAUUGGAACCUGCUUCUUGGGGUCUCACCUUCAGGGGUAUUCUUGUUGGAUGAAAGCAACGUACACUUAUAAAGACUAAGCUCCCUCAAAAACACUGUCUGUUUGGAGAUAUCAAUAAUUGUAGUUAUCAUGAGUUGUCCUCUAUACAUAAACUCGGCAUGUACUGCACAGGAAUUUUCAAUAUUGCCCGAUGACAGUUCUUUGGAAGUUAUAAAGAUUGUUCACCAGUUGAUAAUUUCUAUGCUACGGUACUGAUAUGCAUAAGAAGUAAAAUUGAUUGGAUGGUAAUUUCCUGUUCUGCACACAAAUACUUUUCUUGUCAGAAUCUGAUGUUGGGCUCUUUAGACUGUUGCUUCAAUUUGCACAUAUUUUUUUAAUUAAAAAUUUGCACAAUUGGAAUGAGAUGGAUAUUCGUUUAUUUUUAACCCACUGAUCUCACAACUUGGGAUCUUUUGUAGGUGAAGUCAUUAUAAAUAUAACCGUCGAAAGUUAUAGUGGACUCAAACUUUUGCUCUUCGAUCUGUGGAUGGGUUUGAUCUUUUGACCUUAGGAAAUACUAGUUGUUUGUAUCCAUUUAUUAGUACUUCUAGUUUCAUGAUUAUGGUGCAUAUGUUUUGAUAGAAUCAAAUAUGCAAUAUUUGCAGGCAAAAAGUAUUUGGUGGAUUGGGGAAAAAUCAAUAUUCUAAUGUCGAAUCAAGAUCAACUAGGACAAGCGG
rnacentral:lncRNA from 1 species